rnacentral:rRNA from 1 species
CCUACGGGAGGCAGCAGUGGGGAAUAUUGCGCAAUGGGCGAAAGCCUGACGCAGCGACGCCGCGUGAGGGAUGAAGGUCUUCGGAUCGUAAACCUCUGUCAGCAGGGAAGAACGGUCACUGUGCUAAUCAGCAGUGACUUAACGGUACCUGCAAGGGAAGCACAGGCUAACUCCGUGCCAGCAGCCGCGGUAAUACGGAGGGGGCGGGCGUUAAGCGGAAUUACUGGGCGUAAAGCGCUCGUAGGCGGUAUGUCAAGUCAAGGGUGAAAUCCCCGCGCUCAACGUGGGAACUGCCUUUGAAACUGGCAAACUGGAGUGUGUGAGAGGAUAGUGGAAUUCCAGGUGUAGGAGUGAAAUCCGUAGAUAUCUGGAGGAACAUCAGUGGCGAAGGCGACUAUCUGGCACAUAACUGACGCUGAGGAGCGAAAGCGUGGGUAGCAAACAGGAUUAGAUACCCUUGUAGUC